rnacentral:rRNA from 1 species
GAUGAACGCUCGCUACAGGCUUAACACAUGCAAGUCGAGGGGAAACGACAUCGAAAGCUUGCUUUUGAUGGGCGUCGACCGGCGCACGGGUGAGUAACGCGUAUCCAACCUGCCCAUCACUUGGGAAUAACCUUGCGAAAGUAAGACUAAUACCCAAUGAUAUCCCACGAAGGCAUCGGAAUGGGAUUAAAGAUUUAUCGGUGAUGGAUGGGGAUGCGUCUGAUUAGCUUGUUGGCGGGGUAACGGCCCACCAAGGCAACGAUCAGUAGGGGCUCUGAGAGGAAGGUCCCCCACAUUGGAACUGAGACACGGUCCAAACUCCUACGGGAGGCAGCAGUGAGGAAUAUUGGUCAAUGGGCGAGAGCCUGAACCAGCCAAGUAGCGUGCAGGAAGACGGCCCUAUGGGUUGUAAACUGCUUUUAUAAGGGAAUAAAGUGGGUCACGUGUGACUUUUUGCAUGUACCUUAUGAAUAAGGACCGGCUAAUUCCGUG